rnacentral:rRNA from 1 species
UACGUAGGGAGCAAGCGUUGUCCGGAAUCAUUGGGCGUAAAGCGCGCGUAGGCGGCCCCGUAAGUCCGCUGUGAAAGUCAAAGGCUCAACCUUUGAAAGCCGGUGGAUACUGUGGGGCUAGAGUCCGGAAGAGGCGAGUGGAAUUCCUGGUGUAGCGGUGGAAUGCGCAGAUAUCAGGAGGAACACCGAUGGCGAAGGCAGGUCUCUGGGCCACUACUGACGCUGAGAAGCGAAAGCAUGGGGAGCGAACAGGA